GAUGAAGAACGUAGUGAAAUGCGAUAAGUAAUGUGAAUUGCAGAAUUCCGUGAAUCAUCGAAUCUUUGAACGCACAUUGCGCCCCCUGGCAUUCCGGGGGCAUGCCUGUCCGAGCGUCAUUUCUGCCCUCAAGCACGGCUUGUGUGUUGGGUGUGGUCCCCCCGGGGACCUGCCCGAAAGGCAGCAGCGACGUCCGUCUGGUCCUCGAGCGUAUGGGGCUCUGUCACUCGCUCGGGAAGGACCUGCGGGGGUUGGUCACCACUAUAUUUUACCACGGUUGACCUCGGAUCAGGUAGGAGUUACCCGCUGAACUUAAGCAUAUCAUAAGCGGAGGA
rnacentral:misc_RNA from 1 species